GUACUGCUGUUGGAUGUCUGAUGAUUGUCGCUUCAGUUCUGAUGUUCUGGAUCUACAGGAAACACAGAAACACACAGCAACAGGUUCAAACCAGAGGAACGGAAAUCACUUAUGCAGAUCCAACAUUCUGUAAAAGAGCAGCAAAUAAACCGGGAUCUGAGGAUGAUGUGGUGUAUGCAGGAGUCAAGAGACGAUAAACAAAUUCUCUGUGAUUCUCAGAUCAACAUUUAGCUGUUUGAUCAUCUACAGUCUCUGUUAUAACUUCAGAUUUUGACUGUUUGUGAGUUUAAACUUUUUUUCUUUGUGAAUUAUAUGACAUGAAGCGAUUAUUACAUGUGAGAUGUCUGCUUACUCUCUCAACUUAAGAUCUGUUACUUCUCCAUCACAUUUGCAAGCAUAAUACACACCAAUAACAGACAAAAGCACAUCACAAACACUGUGAACAAAAUAUAAAUUAAUCACUGUGGAUACAACCAACGUAUUUCUUUUUAAAACACAAACUGUCUUUUUAUUUUUGUCACUAUAUACAUCUGACACAUUAACACGUUCAAGUGGAAAGAAAUGUGGUUUUGUUGUACUGGUGGACGUGAGAUAUGCGUUUGUGUUAAACUAUUAGUGGUGAAUGUGUAUAUGUGUGUGACUGUUAGAGGUGUGAACAGUGUGCUUCUGUGAAUACUGUGUGGCUUUUUUUGCUGUCGCUGCUAAUAUUGUUUACUCUGCACAAAGCAGCUUUAUUGAAAUAUUGA